UGUGGUAAUUCUAGAGCUAAUACAUGCACCAAAGCUCCGAAUUUUUGACGAGCGCAUCUAUUAGAUUAAAACCAAUCGGGUUUCGGCCCGUUUGUUGGUGACUCUGAAUAACUAUGGCUGAUCGCAUGGUCUAGAACCGGCGACGUGUCUAUCAAGUGUCUGCCUUAUCAACUGUCGAUGGUAGUUUAUGUGCCUACCAUGGUUGUAACGGGUAACGGAGAAUAAGGGUUCGACUCCGGAGAGGGAGCCUGAGAAACGGCUACCACAUCCAAGGAAGGCAGCAGGCGCGCAAAUUACCCACUCUCGGCAUGAGGAGGUAGUGACGAAAAAUAACGAGACCGUUCUCUAUGAGGCCGGUUAUCGGAAUGGGUACAAUUUAAACCCGUUAACGAGGAUCUAUGAGAGGGCAAGUCUGGUGCCAGCAGCCGCGGUAAUUCCAGCUCUCAAAGUGUAUAUCGUCAUUGCUGCGGUUAAAAAGCUCGUAGUUGGAUCUGCGCCUCAGGACCUGGUCCGCCCACUGGGUGAGAACUGGGCUCCUGGGCUAGUUCUGCUGGUUUUCCCUGCGUUGCCUUCAUCGGUAGCGUAGGGUGGCUAGCGAGUUUACUUUGAAAAAAUUAGAGUGCUUCACGCGGGCUUAUGUCUGAAUACUCGUGCAUGGAAUAAUAGAAUAGGAUCUCGGCUCUAUUUUGUUGGUUUUCUGAUCUGAGAUAAUGGUUAAGAGGGACGGACGGGGGCAUUCGUAUCGCUGCGUGAGAGGUGAAAUUCUUGGACCGUAGCGAGACGUCCGACUGCGAAAGCAUUUGCCAAGAAUGUCUUCAUUAAUCAAGAACGAAAGUCAGAGGUUCGAAGG
rnacentral:rRNA from 1 species